rnacentral:other from 1 species
AUAUCCCUGCCCUGUUAGUGAUUAGGGGUUAAUGUUGAUCUCUCGAAUUGGACCUUUAGGGAGCCGACGUAAAGCAUACGGUGAGCAAAUCUCCUUAGGGAGAGAGCCUAAGUUGCUUUCAAGGCACCCACUUUGACUGAUAGAGAUCUGAUUGCGCCUACACGGCAGGGUGGGUUUAAA